CCGGAAGCUACUGACCCAUGUGGGUGACAAGGUCUCACUUCCCACCAUCAAGGCCAGGCCAGGCCUGUGGCUGGGCCUUUAUAUGACAGUUGAAAACUGUCCCUUGCAUAAGGCAAAAGGCAGAUAGCAUUGCCAGAUACUUGCUGUUCCUAUGGUCUAUCUGCAUAACAUGGGGGUUUCAUAAGCAUUAUAAAACUAAAGUCUUUUAAAAAUGUAGACAUUUUCACCUUGACGGUCAUAUUCUCAGUCUACUCUUUGGGUGAAAGCACUGCUUGAAAUUUGAUCUUUGCUCCUUUUCUCUCUGUGUCCUCGUUUCCUGCGAAUCCCCUCCACACAGGUUCACGGAUGCUGGAAUGUGGAAGUGCCACAGGGGUCACCUACCGUGCCAGUUCCUGGCUUCCUGUAGCUAUUCUCCAUGACGUGACCCAAAGGGGCGCCAGUGUUUGCAGUGGGGAACAGACAAGCCCAGCUUGGGAUGACUCUUUCCACACCCCUUCAGCAGUCUGGAGGCUCCAGUGCUGUCCUAAACCAGAGCUUGGAGAUACCGUGCUGGGCUCUACUGUGUGGAGACAGGAGGCGCAGAGAGAAACAGGACUCAUCAUUAUUAUUUUUAUGGAUCACUUUUUCCAUUGUCGUCUCCUGGCAGACCCAGGCCUGGCUUUACCACGGAACCUAGCCCUGAAGGAGAAGCAGCGUGCAUGGGAAGUGCAUCCACCUUGGGGCUGGACUACCUGCAUUCACAUUCAGGACUGGCAUUCCUUACCAUCAGGCUAAGCAGGCCACUCAAUCUCUCGGAACCUCACUUUCCUCACCAUUAAACUGUUAUCGAUCUUGC
rnacentral:lncRNA from 1 species